rnacentral:rRNA from 1 species
AAGACCUUGCACUUUUGGAGCGGCCGAUGUCUGAUUAGCUAGUUGGUGGGGUAAUGGCCUACCAAAGCGUCGAUCAGUAGCUGGUCUGAGAGGACGGCCAGCCACACUGGGACUGAGACACGGCCCAGACUCCUACGGGAGGCAGCAGUGGGGAAUUUUGGACAAUGGGCGCAAGCCUGAUCCAGCCAUGCCGCGUGAGUGAAGAAGGCCUUCGGGUUGUAAAGCUCUUUCAGCCGGGAAGAAAAGGUUGCGAUUAAUAAUCGCAAUUUAUGACGGUACCGGAAGAAGAAGCACCGGCUAACUACGUGCCAGCAGCCGCGGUAAUACGUAGGGUGCGAGCGUUAAUCGGAAUUACUGGGCGUAAAGGGUGCGCAGGCGGUUUUGCAAGUCAGAUGUGAAAUCCCCGGGCUUAACCUGGGAACU